rnacentral:rRNA from 1 species
CCUACGGGAGGCAGCAGUGAGGAAUAUUGGUCAAUGGACGAGAGUCUGAACCAGCCAAGUAGCGUGAAGGAUGACUGCCCUAUGGGUUGUAAACUUCUUUUAUAUGGGAAUAAAAUGUUCCACGUGUGGGAUUUUGUAUGUACCAUAUGAAUAAGGAUCGGCUAACUCCGUGCCAGCAGCCGCGGUAAUACGGAGGAUCCGAGCGUUAUCCGGAUUUAUUGGGUUUAAAGGGAGCGUAGGUGGAUUGUUAAGUCAGUUGUGAAAGUUUGCGGCUCAACCGUAAAAUUGCAGUUGAAACUGGCAGUCUUGAGUACAGUAGAGGUGGGCGGAAUUCGUGGUGUAGCGGUGAAAUGCUUAGAUAUCACGAAGAACUCCGAUUGCGAAGGCAGUUCACUGGACUGCAACUGACACUGAGGCUCGAAGGUGUGGGUAUCAAACAGGAUUAGAUACCCCAGUAGUC